rnacentral:lncRNA from 1 species
AUCCUUCUGUAGUUACUGGUGUGUUAACAAUGAGCAAGCGUCUCUCCUGAAGUCUUGCUGAGGCUGCUCAAGAGGCCUGAAUCGAGCAGGAGGCCACUGGGAACUUCUCUGCUCCCACCAAAAACUUCCACAGGAGCAUCACCUUUGACGCAAUGGUGGAGAAGAAAGAGUGGAGCAAGACUUGAGCAGACCACCACUACCCAGGAUAAGCCAACAGCCCUAUUACUACUAACAGUGCAGGGUCUGCAGCACACGGAUGAGCACCUGGAUUCUUUUCUUAAUUGGAAAUGCUUUCAGCUGAAGAGUCAGCACGUAGGUGUGUGUGGUGGUAAAGAGCAUUAGCAUUGCGCUACUCCGGGAGAAGCUCACAGCUGCACUUACUUGGGUUCUGCUCAACGUCUCUUCCAUUUUUAUCGUAUUUGAAAGUAAUGCUGACCGGGAGAUAAAUGAUCAAAGAAUGAAUCCAUUAAAACAUGCUAACUGUAUCUACAUUUAUUCCAUUUUUUAAUAUUUUUAUUAUUUUUGCUGAACUGGUAAUAUCUUAAUUAACUGGGAACAUUUACAAAGCUCUCGGUGGG